rnacentral:rRNA from 1 species
CGCCUUGCCAGCCCGCUCAGAACUUAAAGGAAUUGACGGGGCCCGCACAAGCGGUGGAGCAUGUGGUUUAAUUCGAUGAUACGCGAGGAACCUUACCUGGGCUCAAAUGUAUGUUGACGUAUUCUGAAAGGGAUACUUCUUCGGACAAUAUACAAGGUGCUGCAUGGUUGUCGUCAGCUCGUGCCGUGAGGUGUCGGGUUAAGUCCCAUAACGAGCGCAACCCCUAUCAUUAGUUGCCAUCAGGUCAAGCUGGGGACUCUAAUGAAACUGCCUACGCAAGUAGUGAGGAAGGUGGGGAUGACGUCAAAUCAGCACGGCCCUUACGUCCAGGGCUACACACGUGCUACAAUGGCCGGCACAACGGGAAGCGAGUUCGCGAGGACGAGCGGAUCCCUCAAAGCCGGUCGCAGUUCGGAUUGAAGUCUGCAACUCGACUUCAUGAAGCUGGAAUCGCUAGUAAUCGUGGAUCAGCCAAGCCGCGGUGAAUACGUUCCCGGGCCUU